rnacentral:rRNA from 1 species
GACGUAGGGCGCGAGCGUCGUCCGGAUUUAUUGGGCGUAAAGAGCUCGUAGGCGGCUUGUCGCGUCGUCCGUGAAAACUUGGGGCUCAACCCCAAGCUUGCGGUCGAUACGGGCAGGCUAGAGUUCGGUAGGGGAGACUGGAAUUCCUGGUGUAGCGGUGAAAUGCGCAGAUAUCAGGAGGAACACCGGUGGCGAAGGCGGGUCUCUGGGCCGAUACUGACGCUGAGGAGCGAAAGCGUGGGGAGCGAACAGG